rfam:Glycine soja cultivar W05 scaffold1678_18, whole genome shotgun sequence.
AAGAACUUAGAUGAUGACUGUCACGUGUCAUGUUCUCAUUGGAUGUCAACUCUAUGAAAAAUGCAUUGUUGUUUUCAUUGACCAAUCAGAACAUGACAAGUUGUAGGC